CAUCUACUUCCUCCGUUCGGAAUUACUCGUCCAAAAAAUGAAUGUAUCUAGAUGUAUUUUAGUUGUAGAUACAUCCAUUUUUGUGACAAGUAAUUCCGAACAGAGGAAGUACAAG
rnacentral:pre_miRNA from 1 species